rnacentral:misc_RNA from 1 species
GAUGAAGAACGUAGCGAAAUGCGAUACUUGGUGUGAAUUGCAGAAUCCCGUGAACCAUCGAGUCUUUGAACGCAAGUUGCGCCUCAAGCCAUUAGGUUGAGGGCACGUCUGCCUGGGCGUCACAUAUCGUUGCCUGAUGCCAGUUUCCUCGUGAUGGGUGACUGUGCAGGGCGAAUGAUGGCUUCCCGUGAGCAUUGUUGCCUCAUGGUUGGUUGAAAAUUGAGUCCUUGGUAGGGAGCGCCGUGAUAGAUGGUGGUUGAGUGACGAACGAGACCCAAUCAUGUGAGACCCCUACCGAAUUUGGCCUUCAUGACCCACAUGCGUCUUUGGAACGCUCAUGACGAGACCUCAGGUCAGGCGGAGCUACCCGCUGAGUUUAAGCAUAUCAAUAAGCGGAGGA